rnacentral:rRNA from 1 species
GUGAGGAAUAUUGGUCAAUGGGCGAGAGCCUGAACCAGCCAAGUCGCGUGAAGGAAGAAGGAUCUAUGGUUCGUAAACUUCUUUUGCAGGGGAAUAAAGUGCGGGACGUGUCCUGUUUUGUAUGUACCCUGAGAAUAAGGAUCGGCUAACUCCGUGCCAGCAGCCGCGGUAAUACGGAGGAUCCGAGCGUUAUCCGGAUUUAUUGGGUUUAAAGGGUGCGUAGGCGGAUUGGAAAGUCAGCGGUGAAAGUUUGCAGCUUAACUGUAAAAUUGCCAUUGAAACUGUCAGUCUUGAGUGCAAAUGAGGUAGGCGGAAUGUGUUGUGUAGCGGUGAAAUGCAUAGAUAUCAGGAAGAACACCGGUGGCGAAGGCGGCUUGCUGGACAGUAACUGACGUUGAGGCUCGAAAGCGUGGGGAGCAAACAGGAUUAGAUACCCUAUAGUCC